UCGAUAUCUUGAACGCACAUUGCGGCCUCGGGUACUCCCGGGGCCACGCCUGUCUCAGGGUCG
rnacentral:rRNA from 1 species